rnacentral:rRNA from 1 species
CACGUAGGGUGCGAGCGUUGUCCGGAAUUACUGGGCGUAAAGCGCGCGUAGGCGGCUUUGUAAGUUAGAGGUGAAAGCCUGGAGCUCAACUUCAGAAUUGCCUUUAAGACUGCAUCGCUUGAAUCCGGGAGAGGUGAGUGGAAUUCCGAGUGUAGAGGUGAAAUUCGUAGAUAUUCGGAAGAACACCAGUGGCGAAGGCGGCUCACUGGACCGGCAUUGACGCUGAGGUGCGAAAGCGUGGGGAGCAAACAGG